CUUCUGGAAAAUCGACGUUAAAAGGC
rnacentral:piRNA from 1 species